CGAACGGUUACGUAACACGUGAGCAAUCUGCGAUUUCUGGGGGAUAGCCGGCCAACGGCCGGGUAAUACCGCAUAUGCUCACGGGGAGGAGUCUCCCUGUGAGGAAACCUCCGGGGGAAAUCGAGGAGCUCGCGGCUAUCAGCUAGUUGGCGGGGUAAUGGCCCACCAAGGCGAUGACGGGUAGCUGGUCUGAGAGGAUGGCCAGCCACAUUGGGACUGAGAAACGGCCCAGACUCCUACGGGAGGCAGCAGUGGGGAAUCUUGCGCAAUGGCCGAAAGGCUGACGCAGCGACGCCGCGUGUGGGAGGACGCCCUUCGGGGUGUAAACCACUGUUGCCCGGGACGAACAUCCCCUUUCGAGGGGACUGACGGUACCGGGUGAGGAAGCACCGGCUAACUCCGUGCCAGCCGCCGCGG
rnacentral:rRNA from 1 species